CAGGGACAAAUGCAGGCAUGGCACCGAAUAGACACCUACUGAAUGUUUGCUCAACCUCUCCAAGCCCCAGUGUCCUCCUAGGAGAAAUGGAGAUUAAGCCCAUGUGCAGGCUUCAUCCCGAAAGUUCUCCCAGUUCUUGGACAAGGAUUCCUCCAGAUUGGCCAGAAGAUGGUAGAAUGAGGGCGGUGAGAGCUCAGGAAAACGCCCUGAAUGGGUCAGCAUCUGCUCCUUGACUCUUAUUCCAUCUGCGCGUGCAGCCUGCCUCUUGCUCAGCCCUAGAGCAGUAACUCGGUGAAACAACUGCCCGGCUGCUUUCUUCAAAAUGGGUCUGCUCUGAUCGCCCAACCCAGAAUGUUCCAACGC